rnacentral:rRNA from 1 species
UGGGGAAUAUUGGACAAUGGGCGCAAGCCUGAUCCAGCCAUGCCGCGUGAGUGAUGAAGGCCUUAGGGUUGUAAAGCUCUUUCGCCGGUGAAGAUAAUGACGGUAACCGGAGAAGAAGCCCCGGCUAACUUCGUGCCAGCAGCCGCGGUAAUACGAAGGGGGCUAGCGUUGCUCGGAAUCACCGGGCGUAAAGCGCACGUAGGCGGAUCGUUAAGUCAGGGGUGAAAUCCUGGAGCUCAACUCCAGAACUGCCCUUGAUACUGGCGAUCUCGAGUUCGAGAGAGGUUGGUGGAACUCCGAGUGUAGAGGUGAAAUUCGUAGAUAUUCGGAAGAACACCAGUGGCGAAGGCGGCCAACUGGCUCGAUACUGACGCUGAGGUGCGAAAGCGUGGGGAGCAAAACAGGAUUAGAUACCCCUGGUAGUCCACGCCGUAAACGAUGGAUGCUAGCCGUUGGGGGGUUUACCUCUCAGUGGCGCAGCUAACGCCUUAAGCAUCCCGCCUGGGGAGUACGGUCGCAAGAUUAAAACUCAAAUGAAUUGACGGGGUCAUAGCUGUUUUCUU